rnacentral:rRNA from 1 species
UACGUAGGGGGCGAGCGUUGUCCGGAAUCAUUGGGCGUAAAGCGCGUGUAGGCGGCUUGAUAAGUCUGGUGUGAAAUCUUGGGGCUCAACCCCAAGCCUGCACUGGAUACUGUCAAGCUUGAGUCCGGGAGGGGAGAGCGGAAUUCCUAGUGUAGCGGUGAAAUGCGCAGAUAUUAGGAAGAACACCGGUGGCGAAGGCGGCUCUCUGGAACGGUACUGACGCUGAGACGCGAAAGCGUGGGGAGCGAGCAGG